CUUUAACAAUCCGGAACAAGCUGAAAAUUUGAAACACAUGCUGAAGUGCAAACUCAGUAUGCGAGUCUCUCAAACGAAGUAAGCAAACCUGAGAUAACGCGCAAGCGUUAUCACUGU
rnacentral:sRNA from 20 species